rnacentral:rRNA from 1 species
UGAAUACGAGACGCUAAGGCGUCGAAGUAGUGUAUGUCAUACUUCCAAGAAAAGCUUGCACUGUCAUAGAUAAAAAACGCCUGUACCAUAACCGACACAGGUGGGUAGGUAGAGUAUACUAAGGGGCGCGAUAUAACUCUCUCUAAGGAACUCGGCAAAAUAACUCCGUAACUUCGGGAGAAGGAGUGCCUUAUUCGUAAGGUUGCAAUAACAAGAUCCAAGCAACUGUUUAUCAAAAACACAGGUCUCCGCUAAGUCGUAAGACGAUGUAUGGGGGCUGACGCCUGCCCAGUGCCAGAAGGUUAAAGAAGUUGGUUAGCAAUUGCGAAGCUGAUAACUGAAGCCCUGGUGAACGGCGGCCGUAACAAUAACGGUCCUAAGGUAGCGAAAUUCCUUGUCGGGUAAGUUCCGACCCGCACGAAAGGCGUAAUGAUUUGGAUACUGUCUCGGAGAGGGGCUCGGUGAAAUAGACUUGUCUGUGAAGAUGCGGACUACCUGCACCAGGACAGAAAGACCCUAUGAAGCUUUACUGUAACUUGAAAUUGAAAUUGGACUUUAUUCGCGCAGUAUAGGUGGGAGGCGUUGAUUAUAAUCUUGUGGGAUUAUUGGAGCCAUCAGUGAGAUACCACUCUUGUAAUGUUAGAUUUCUAACUUUGAAUCAUCAUCUGGUCAAAGAACAGUUUCAGGCGGGCAGUUUGACUGGGGCGGUCGCCUCCUAAACGGUAACGGAGGCGUACAAAGGUUUUCUCUGAACGGUUAGAAAUCGUAUCUAGAGUGUAAAGGCAUAAGGAAGCUUGACUGUGAGACCUACAAGUCGAGCAGGGACGAAAGUCGGUCUUAGUGAUCUGACGGUACUGAGUGGAAAGGCCGUCACUCAACGGAUAAAAGUUACUCUAAGGAUAACAGGCUGUUCUCCCCCAAGAGUUCACAUCGACGGGGAGGUUUGGCACCUCGAUGUCGGCUCAUCGCAUCCUGUGGCGGUAGUACGUCCCAAGGGUUGGGCUGUUCGCCCAUGAAAGCGGUACGCGAGCUGGGUUCAGAACGUCGUGAGACAGUUCGGUCCAUAUCCGGUGUAGGCGUUAGAAUAUUGAGAGGAGCCUUCUUUAGUACGAGAGGACCGAGAAGGACAUACCUCUGGUGUACCAGUUAUCGUGCCAACGGUAAACGCUGGGUAGCUAUGUAUGGAGUGGAUAACCGCUGAAAGCAUCUAAGUGGGAAGCCCACCUCAAGAUAAG